CCAAUUGCUAUCUCUCCCUUCUCUGGUCUUUCUUUCCAUCUUUUCAUUCUCCCUGUUUUUUUACAUCUAAAGCUGUGAUUUUUUACAUCAAAAUUGUGAUUUUUAUCUCAGAUUCCAUGACAACGAUAUCGUAUUUGCGUUCCUCUCCAAAUUUUCAUUUCUAUAUCGUGUUCUUGGUGGAAGAACACACCAAAGUUGUCAUUUUGAUCUCAAAACUCUUUGAGUUCAGAGAAGGUGAAAGAACACUAAAGCUGCGAUUUUUAUCUCCAAAAAACUUCGAUUUGUAUCUCAAACAGAUUUGUUUUCUUUGUUUCUCUGUUUACGUUUUCUUUGUUUCUUUGUUUCUUACAAUACAAAAGCUUACAUUUUUUUUAGUUAACCUCUAUUUCAUGCAGAGAAGGUGGAAGAGCACACUACAACUGUAGGUUUUAUCUGAAAACUCCACGAAGAAGAUGGAAGAAGACAUUAAAACUGUGAUUUUUAUCUACAAAAAGCUUCGAUUUUUAUCUCAAACAGAGAAGGUAGAAGAAGACACUAAAGCUGUGAUUUUUAUCUACAAAAAGCUUCGAUUUUUAUUUCAUACAGGGAUUUCAAUUUACAUUUUGAUGCAGAGGCUCUCAACAUUCGCAGCUUGAAUUAUAUUUAUUCAUUAAUAUAGAUAAUCAGGAAGCAGCAAAAUUGGAGUGAUGAUGACCCCAUUUGAUUGAUGAAGAAAUUUUUAUGUUACUUUGUUUUAACAGUUUAAAGUUGUAAUUUAAUAAUUAUGAUUUCUAGACAAUGUAUUUUAUUAAUAU